rnacentral:rRNA from 1 species
CGUAGGUAACCUGCCUCUUAGCGGGGGAUAACUAUUGGAAACGAUAGCUAAUACCGCAUAAAAGUCGAUAUCGCAUGAUAUUGAUUUGAAAGGUGCAAUUGCAUCACUAAGAGAUGGACCUGCGUUGUAUUAGCUAGUUGGUGAGGUAACGGCUCACCAAGGCGACGAUACAUAGCCGACCUGAGAGGGUGAUCGGCCACACUGGGACUGAGACGCGGCCCAG